rnacentral:rRNA from 1 species
AUUGAACGCUGGCGGUAGGCCUAACACACGCAAGUCGAACGGCAGCACAGUAAUUGCUCGUUCAUACGGCUGGCGACGGGUGGGUAGGGGCGAAGUAUCUGGGUAUUUGUGGGUGCGUGGGGGAGGACGUGGGCGAACUUACCCCAAUAGUCCAUACGGCGUACGGGUGGAAUCAUGGGAUCUUCGGACCUUAGAUGAGCCUAUGACGCGAUGUCGGAUUAGCUAGUUGGCGGGGUAAAGGCCCACCAAGGCGACGAUCCGUAGCUGGUCUGAGAGGAUGAUCAGCCACACUGGAACUGAGACACGGUCCAGACUCCUACGGGAGGCAGCAGUGGGGAAUAUUGGACAAUGGGCGAAAGCCUGAUCCAGCCAUGCCGCGUGUGUGAAGAAGGUCUUCGGAUUGUAAAGCACUUUUGUUGGGGAGGAAAGGCAGUAAGUUAAUACCUUGCUGUUUUGACGGUACCAACAGAAUAAGCACCGGCUAACUUCGUG